rnacentral:tRNA from 2 species
GGCCGAAUGGUGAAAUUGGUAAACACGCCGGGUUUGGAACUCGGUGAGCGGUCCCUGAGAAGACCAUGCGCUCUUGCGGGUUCGAGGCCCGUUUCGGCCACCA